CUAUUAUGAUGAGUUUUCACUUCAUGGUCCGUGUUUCUGAAGGCUGUGAUUUCAGUGGAAGUUCUGAUUGU